rnacentral:rRNA from 1 species
UACGUAGGGUGCGAGCGUUAAUCGGAAUUACUGGGCGUAAAGCGUGCGCAGGCGGUUUUGCAAGACAGAUGUGAAAUCCCCGGGCUCAACCUGGGAAUUGCGCUUGUGACUGCAAAGCUGGAGUGCGGCAGAGGGGGAUGGAAUUCCGCGUGUAGCAGUGAAAUGCGUAGAUAUGCGGAGGAACACCGAUGGCGAAGGCAAUCCCCUGGGCCUGCACUGACGCUCAUGCACGAAAGCGUGGGGAGCAAACAGG